UUAAGCGACUAAGCGUACACGGUGGAUGCCCUGGCAGUCAGAGGCGAUGAAGGGCGUGCUAAUCUGCGAUAAGCGCCGGUAAGGUGAUAUGAACCGUUAUAACCGGCGAUACCCGAAUGGGGAAACCCAGUGUGACUCGUCACACUAUCAUUAACUGAAUCCAUAGGUUAAUGAGGCGAACCGGGGGAACUGAAACAUCUAAGUACCCCGAGGAAAAGAAAUCAACCGAGAUUCCCCCAGUAGCGGCGAGCGAACGGGGAGGAGCCCAGAGCCUGAAUCAGCAUGUGUGUUAGUGGAAGCGUCUGGAAAGGCGCGCGAUACAGGGUGACAGCCCCGUACACAAAAGCGCAUGUGCUGUGAGCUCGAUGAGUAGGGCGGGACACGUGGUAUCCUGUCUGAAUAUGGGGGGACCAUCCUCCAAGGCUAAAUACUCCUGACUGACCGAUAGUGAACCAGUACCGUGAGGGAAAGGCGAAAAGAACCCCGGCGAGGGGAGUGAAAAAGAACCUGAAACCGUGUACGUACAAGCAGUGGGAGCNNGUGACUGCGUACCUUUUGUAUAAUGGGUCAGCGACUUAUAUUCUGUAGCAAGGUUAACCGAAUAGGGGAGCCGGAGGGAAACCGAGUCUUAAUUGGGCGUUAAGUUGCAGGGUAUAGACCCGAAACCCGGUGAUCUAGCCAUGGGCAGGUUGAAGGUUGGGUAACACUAACUGGAGGACCGAACCGACUAAUGUUGAAAAAUUAGCGGAUGACCUGUGGCUGGGGGUGAAAGGCCAAUCAAACCGGGAGAUAGCUGGUUCUCCCCGAAAGCUAUUUAGGUAGCGCCUCGUGAAUUCAUCUCCGGGGGUAGAGCACUGUUUCGGCUAGGGGGCCAUCCCGGCUUACCAACCCGAUGCAAACUGCGAAUACCGGAGAAUGUUAUCACGGGAGACACACGGCGGGUGCUAACGUCCGUCGUGAAGAGGGAAACAACCCAGACCGCCAGCUAAGGUCCCAAAGUCAUGGUUAAGUGGGAAACGAUGUGGGAAGGCCCAGACAGCCAGGAUGUUGGCUUAGAAGCAGCCAUCAUUUAAAGAAAGCGUAAUAGCUCACUGGUCGAGUCGGCCUGCGCGGAAGAUGUAACGGGGCUAAACCAUGCACCGAAGCUGCGGCAGCGANNGUUGGGUAGGGGAGCGUUCUGUAAGCCUGCGAAGGUGGUCUGUGAGGGUUGCUGGAGGUAUCAGAAGUGCGAAUGCUGACAUAAGUAACGAUAAAGCGGGUGAAAAGCCCGCUCGCCGGAAGACCAAGGGUUCCUGUCCAACGUUAAUCGGGGCAGGGUGAGUCGACCCCUAAGGCGAGGCCGAAAGGCGUAGUCGAUGGGAAACGGGUUAAUAUUCCCGUACUUGGUGUUACUGCGAAGGGGGGACGGAGAAGGCUAUGUUGGCCGGGCGACGGUUGUCCCGGUUUAAGCGUGUAGGUGUGUGUUCCAGGUAAAUCCGGUUCACUUUAACACUGAGGCGUGAUGACGAGGCACUACGGUGCUGAAGCAACAAAUGCCCUGCUUCCAGGAAAAGCCUCUAAGCAUCAGGUAACAUCAAAUCGUACCCCAAACCGACACAGGUGGUCAGGUAGAGAAUACCAAGGCGCUUGAGAGAACUCGGGUGAAGGAACUAGGCAAAAUGGUGCCGUAACUUCGGGAGAAGGCACGCUGACACGUAGGUGAAGUGAUUUACUCAUGGAGCUGAAGUCAGUCGAAGAUACCAGCUGGCUGCAACUGUUUAUUAAAAACACAGCACUGUGCAAACACGAAAGUGGACGUAUACGGUGUGACGCCUGCCCGGUGCCGGAAGGUUAAUUGAUGGGGUCAGCGCAAGCGAAGCUCCUGAUCGAAGCCCCGGUAAACGGCGGCCGUAACUAUAACGGUCCUAAGGUAGCGAAAUUCCUUGUCGGGUAAGUUCCGACCUGCACGAAUGGCGUAAUGAUGGCCAGGCUGUCUCCACCCGAGACUCAGUGAAAUUGAACUCGCUGUGAAGAUGCAGUGUACCCGCGGCAAGACGGAAAGACCCCGUGAACCUUUACUAUAGCUUGACACUGAACAUUGAGCCUUGAUGUGUAGGAUAGGUGGGAGGCUUUGAAGCGUGGACGCCAGUCUGCGUGGAGCCGACCUUGAAAUACCACCCUUUAAUGUUUGAUGUUCUAACGUGGACCCGUAAUCCGGGUUGCGGACAGUGUCUGGUGGGUAGUUUGACUGGGGCGGUCUCCUCCUAAAGAGUAACGGAGGAGCACGAAGGUUGGCUAAUCCUGGUCGGACAUCAGGAGGUUAGUGCAAUGGCAUAAGCCAGCUUGACUGCGAGCGUGACGGCGCGAGCAGGUGCGAAAGCAGGUCAUAGUGAUCCGGUGGUUCUGAAUGGAAGGGCCAUCGCUCAACGGAUAAAAGGUACUCCGGGGAUAACAGGCUGAUACCGCCCAAGAGUUCAUAUCGACGGCGGUGUUUGGCACCUCGAUGUCGGCUCAUCACAUCCUGGGGCUGAAGUAGGUCCCAAGGGUAUGGCUGUUCGCCAUUUAAAGUGGUACGCGAGCUGGGUUUAGAACGUCGUGAGACAGUUCGGUCCCUAUCUGCCGUGGGCGCUGGAGAACUGAGGGGGGCUGCUCCUAGUACGAGAGGACCGGAGUGGACGCAUCACUGGUGUUCGGGUUGUCAUGCCAAUGGCACUGCCCGGUAGCUAAAUGCGGAAGAGAUAAGUGCUGAAAGCAUCUAAGCACGAAACUUGCCCCGAGAUGAGUUCUCCCUGAGACUUAGAGUCUCCUGAAGGAACGUUGAAGACGACGACGUUGAUAGGCCGGGUGUGUAAGCGCAGCGAUGCGUUGAGCUAACCGGUACUAAUGAACCGUGAGGCUUAACCUU
rnacentral:rRNA from 1 species